AUUGGCCUACGGGAGGCAGCAGUGAGGAAUAUUGGUCAAUGGGCGAGAGCCUGAACCAGCCAAGUCGCGUGAGGGAAGACGGUCCUAUGGAUUGUAAACCUCUUUUGCCGGGGAGCAAAAAGCGGUACGUGUACCGCAUCGAGAGUACCCGGAGAAAAAGCAUCGGCUAACUCCGUGCCAGCAGCCGCGGUAAUACGGAGGAUGCGAGCGUUAUCCGGAUUUAUUGGGUUUAAAGGGUGCGCAGGCGGCGAGUUAAGUCAGCGGUAAAAUUUCGGGGCUCAACCCCGUCGUGCCGUUGAAACUGG
rnacentral:rRNA from 1 species